CCUAGUCCCAAACUGUAUAAAGGCAAACUCACGGGGGCUGACUGGGAGAGAAGACAAAGGUUUCAGAAUAAAUUGUUUGA
rnacentral:snoRNA from 1 species